rnacentral:rRNA from 1 species
AUGGCGGCGGCCACCCUCCUGCUCCUCCUCCUCCUCUGCCCGGCGCUGGCCCUGGGUUGUGUCUGCCCCGGGGGCCCGUCGGCCUGCACCGACGAGGACAAAGCGUGCAUGCAGACGUUGUGCGACCCCGGCUGCAGCGAAUGGUUAGGAAGUCUCGUCUGCCUGGAAGGUUGCCGGCAGUGCCUGCAGAAAAUUCCAGUGGGAUGCGGCAAAGCGUUCCAGGAUUGCACGUUCAGAUGCGAAAAGGCGGACCGGUAUUGCCAUGCCGACUGCCCCUUCGGCAACAACAGAGUCAAAUGCAAGCUCGGCUGCGACAAGAAAAACGACGAAUGCGUGUCCCAGUGCCUCAAGGGCCUCUAG